rnacentral:rRNA from 1 species
AGCGAACGCUGGCGGCAGGCCUAACACAUGCAAGUCGAACGAACUCUUCGGAGUUAGUGGCGGACGGGUGAGUAACACGUGGGAACGUGCCCUUUGGUUCGGAAUAACUCAGGGAAACUUGUGCUAAUACCGAAUGUGCCCUUCGGGGGAAAGAUUUAUCGCCAUUAGAGCGGCCCGCGUCUGAUUAGCUAGUUGGUGAGGUAACGGCUCACCAAGGCGACGAUCAGUAGCUGGUCUGAGAGGAUGACCAGCCACACUGGGACUGAGACACGGCCCAGACUCCUACGGGAGGCAGCAGUGGGGAAUCUUGCGCAAUGGGCGAAAGCCUGACGCAGCCAUGCCGCGUGAAUGAUGAAGGUCUUAGGAUUGUAAAAUUCUUUCACCCGGGACGAUAAUGACGGUACCCGGAGAAGAAGCCCCGGCUAACUUCGUG